rnacentral:rRNA from 1 species
UACGUAGGGACCGAGCGUUGUCCGGAAUCAUUGGGCGUAAAGAGCGUGUAGGCGGCUAUUUAAGUCCUGCGUGAAAUCCUGCGGCUCAACCGCAGACGGUCGUGGGAAACUGGAUGGCUAGAGUGCGGGAGAGGAGAGUGGAAUUCCCGGUGUAGCGGUGAAAUGCGCAGAUAUCGUCUGGAACGCCAAAGGUGAAGACAGUCUGCUGGGGACUUGCUGACGCUGAGACACGAAAGCCAGGGGAGCGAACGGG